GGCUGGGUACCAGAGUAGUUAAUGGCGUGGAUUGCAAAUCCAUCGUUCGUGGGCGCAAAUCCCACCCCAGUCUCCA
rnacentral:tRNA from 1 species